CGCGUGGGUAACCUGCCUCAUACAGGGGGAUAACAGUUGGAAACGACUGCUAAUACCGCAUAAGCGCACAGGAUCGCAUGAUCCGGUGUGAAAACUCCGGUGGUAUGAGAUGGACCCGCGUCUGAUUAGCCAGUUGGCAGGGUAACGGCCUACCAAAGCGACGAUCAGUAGCCGACCUGAGAGGGUGACCGGCCACAUUGGGACUGAGACACGGCCCAAA
rnacentral:rRNA from 1 species